CUUCCUGCAGAUCGCUCGAGCCAGCCUUUGCCAGGGACCUUGACCUAGCACGGACUUGGUCGCCACGCUUAGCUCCCCCUGACCUGCUUUUGAACCCGCUAAUCCACCCCAACUCUUGCCCCGACGUUCACUCCACGCGCUAAUUCCCGGGGGCCCCACAGCCCCCACACUCCCUCUCGGCCCGAGGCUCUGAAGGGCACAACCAGGGCUCCACACUGAAGCAAUGGCCUCAGCUACAAAUAUCCCUCUCCUUGGUUCCCCUUAAUUUAAUUCGUUUUCUUUUUUUCAAAACAAUAACCAUACAAAUACCAAUCUUCCGGAACGGAAACGAAUCUGACACACUGGUGGUCUGGCAAAGCAGUGGUCACAGUGGCUGGCCAGGGACGAGAGCCGAGAGCCGGGGAAGGGUAAGCCAGAAUCUAGUGUCCUGCCAAAGCCAGAGAGGCUGGAAGAACCGCAGACACAA
ensembl:misc_RNA Gm27631 predicted gene, 27631